rnacentral:rRNA from 1 species
CCUACGGGAGGCAGCAGUGGGGAAUAUUGGGCAAUGGGCGCAAGCCUGACCCAGCAACGCCGCGUGAAGGAAGAAGGCUUUCGGGUUGUAAACUUCUUUUCGCAGGGACGAAGCAAGUGACGGGACCUGAGGAAUAAGCCACGGCUAACGACGGGCCAGCAGCCGCGGUAAUACGUAGGGGGCAAGCGUUAUCCGGAUUGACUGGGUGUAACGGGCGUGUAGGCGGGACAGCAAGGCAGAGGGGAACACCCGGGGCUCAACCUGUGGCCUGCAUUUGAAACUGUUUUUCUUGAGUACUGGAGAGGCAGCCGGAAUUCCUAGUGUCGCGGUGCACUGCGUAGAUAUU